UACAGAGGGGGCAAGCGUUGUUCGGAAUUACUGGGCGUAAAGGGCGCGUAGGCGGCCUGUUAAGUCGAACGUGAAAUCCCCGGGCUCAACCCGGGAACUGCGUCCAAGACUGGGAGGCUUGAAUCCGGGAGAGGGAUGCGGAAUUCCAGGUGUAGCGGUGAAAUGCGUAGAUAUCUGGAGGAACACCGGUGGCGAAGGCGGCAUCCUGGACCGGUAUUGACACUGAGGCGCGAAAGCCAGGGAGCAAACGGG
rnacentral:rRNA from 1 species